GACGAACGCUGGCGGCGUGCCUAACACAUGCAAGUCGAGCGGGGUAGAGAGCUUCGGUUUUCUACUUAGUGGCGAACGGGUGAGUAACGCGUGAGAAACCUGCCUUUCAGUGGGGGACAACAGUUGGAAACGACUGCUAAUACCGCAUAAUGUUAUUUGGGGGCAUCCCUGAAUAACCAAAGCUUUAUGUGCUGAACGAUGGUCUCGCGUCUGAUUAGCUAGUUGGUGAGGUAACGGCUCACCAAGGCGACGAUCAGUAGCCGGUCUGAGAGGAUGAACGGCCACAUUGGGACUGAGAUACGGCCCAGACUCCUACGGGAGGCAGCAGUGGGGAAUAUUGGACAAUGGGGGGAACCCUGAUCCAGCCAUGCCGCGUGUGUGAAGAAGGCCUUAUGGUUGUAAAGCACUUUAAGCGAGGAGGAGGCUCUUUUGGUUAAUACCCAAGAUGAGUGGACGUUACUCGCAGAAUAAGCACCGGCUAACUCUGUGCCAGCAGCCGCCGUAAAAC
rnacentral:rRNA from 1 species